rnacentral:rRNA from 1 species
UACGUAGGGAGCAAGCGUUGUCCGGAAUUACUGGGUGUAAAGGGAGCGUAGGCGGGGGUGCAAGUUGGGUGUGAAAUCUGCCGGCUCAACUGGCAGCUGCACUCAAAACUGCAUCUCUUGAGUGAAGUAGAGGCAGGCGGAAUUCCUAGUGUAGCGGUGAAAUGCGUAGAUAUUAGGAGGAACACCAGUGGCGAAGGCGGCCUGCUGGGCUUUUACUGACGCUGAGGCUCGAAAGUGUGGGGAGCAAA